rnacentral:rRNA from 1 species
UACGGAGGGUGCAAGCGUUGCUCGGAAUUAUUGGGCGUAAAGGGUAGGUAGGUGGUCUUAUUUGUCUGGGGUGAAAGCCUUGAGCUUAACUCAAGAAGUGCCCCAGAAACGGUAAGACUAGAGUCCUGGAGAGGGUCGUGGAAUUCCCGGUGUAGCGGUGAAAUGCGUAGAGAUCGGGAGGAACACCAGAGGCGAAGGCGGCGACCUGGACAGGUACUGACACUCAACUACGAAAGCGUGGGUAGCAAACAGG